rnacentral:rRNA from 1 species
CCUACGGGUGGCAGCAGUGGGGAAUAUUGGGCAAUGGAGGCAACUCUGACCCAGCAACGCCGCGUGAAUGAUGAAGGUCCUCGGAUUGUAAAGUUCUUUUCUAAGGGAAGCAGCAAGUGACGGUACCUUAGGAAUAAGCCUCGGCUAACUACGUGCCAGCAGCCGCGGUAAUACGGAGGAGGCAAGCGUUAUCCGGAAUGCCUGGGGGUAAAGGGUGCGUAGGGGGUUUGGCAAGUUAGUAGCGCAACUCCGGAGCUCAACUUCGGAACUACUACUAAAACUGUUGGACUUGAGUGCAGGAGGGGCAAGCGGAAUUCCUGGUGUAGCGGUGGAAUGCAUAGAUAUUAGGAGGAACACCAGUGGCGAAGGCAGAUUGCUAGACUGUAACUGACACUGAGGCACGAAAGCGUGGGGAUCAAACAGGAUUAGAUACCCCUGUAGUC